rfam:Aeromicrobium sp. Root495 contig_1, whole genome shotgun sequence.
CUCGGUCCUCGGUAGUGGCCUUCGGGACCCGCCUCGUCGGGUCAGCCCGCGGGCCUCGAUCGAAGACCGGC